rnacentral:rRNA from 1 species
CCUACGGGAGGCAGCAGUGAGGAAUAUUGGUCAAUGGACGAGAGUCUGAACCAGCCAAGUAGCAUGAAGGAUGACUGCCCUAUGGGUUGUAAACUUCUUUUAUAUGGGAAUAAAACGUUCCACGUGUGGGAUUUUGUAUGUACCAUAUGAAUAAGGAUCGGCUAACUCCGUGCCAGCAGCCGCGGUAAUACGGAGGAUCCGAGCGUUAUCCGGAUUUAUUGGGUUUAAAGGGAGCGUAGGUGGAUUGUUAAGUCAGUUGUGAAAGUUUGCGGCUCAACCGUAAAAUUGCAGUUGAAACUGGCAGUCUUGAGUACAGUAGAGGUGGGCGGAAUUCGUGGUGUAGCGGUGAAAUGCUUAGAUAUCACGAAGAACUCCGAUUGCGAAGGCAGUUCACUGGACUGCAACUGACACUGAGGCUCGAAAGUGUGGGUAUCAAACAGGAUUAGAUACCAUUGUAGUC